rnacentral:rRNA from 1 species
UACGUAGGGGGCAAGCGUUGUCCGGAUUCAUUGGGCGUAAAGAGCGUGUAGGCGGCCAGGUAGGUCGGUUGUGAAAACUGGAGGCUCAACCUUCAGACGUCGACCGAAACCAUCUGGCUAGAGUCCGGGAGAGGAGAGUGGAAUUCCUGGUGUAGCGGUGAAAUGCGCAGAUAUCAGGAAGAACACCCGUUGCGAAAGCGGCUCGCUGGAACGGUACUGACGCUGAGACGCGAAAGCGUGGGGAGCGAACAGG